rnacentral:rRNA from 1 species
UGGGUAACCUACCUAUAAGACUGGGAUAACUUCGGGAAACCGGAGCUAAUACCGGAUAAUAUUUCGAACCGCAUGGUUCGAUAGUGAAAGAUGGUUUUGCUAUCACUUAUAGAUGGACCCGCGCCGUAUUAGCUAGUUGGUAAGGUAACGGCUUACCAAGGCGACGAUACGUAGCCGACCUGAGAGGGUGAUCGGCCACACUGGAACUGAGACACGGUCCAGACUCCUACGGGAGGCAGCAGUAGGGAAUCUUCCGCAAUGGGCGAAAGCCUGACGGAGCAACGCCGCGUGAGUGAUGAAGGUCUUCGGAUCGUAAAACUCUGUUAUUAGGGAAGAACAUACGUGUAAGUAACUAUGCACGUCUUGACGGUACCUAAUCAGAAAGCCACGGCUAACUACGUGCCAGCAGCCGCGGUAAUACGUAGGUGGCAAGCGUUAUCCGGAAUUAUUGGGCGUAAAGCGCGCGUAGGCGGUUUUUUAAGUCUGAUGUGAAAGCCCACGGCUCAACCGUGGAGGGUCAUUGGAAACUGUAAAACUUGAGUGCAGAAGAGGAAAGUGGAAUUCCAUGUGUAGCGGUGAAAUGCGCAGAGAUAUGGAGGAACACCAGUGGCGAAGGCGACUUUCUGGUCUGUAACUGACGCUGAUGUGCGAAAGCGUGGGGAUCAAACAGGAUUAGAUACCCUGGUAGUCCACGCCGUAAACGAUGAGUGCUAAGUGUUAGGGGGUUUC